GACGAACGCUGGCGGCGUGCUUAACACAUGCAAGUCGAACGGAAAGGCCCUGCUUUUGUGGGGUGCUCGAGUGGCGAACGGGUGAGUAACACGUGAGUAACCUCCCCUUACCUUGGGGAUAACUUCGGAAAACUGGGGCUAAUACCGAUUAGAGGCUCCGGCUGCAGGUGGGGGGUGGGAAGGUUUCGGCGGUUGGGGAUGUACUCGCGGCUUAUCAGCUUGUUGGUGGGGUAGUGGCUUACCAAGGCUUUGACGGGUAGCCGGCCUGAGAGGGUGACCGGCCACAUUGGGACUGAGAUACGGCCCAGACUCCUACGGGAGGCAGCAGUGGGGAAUAUUGCACAAUGGGCGGAAGCCUGAUGCAGCAACGCCGCGUGCGGGAUGACGGCCUUCGGGUUGUAAACCGCUUUCGCCUGUGACGAAGCGUGAGUGACGGUAAUGGGUAAAGAAGCACCGGCUAACUACGUG
rnacentral:rRNA from 1 species